rnacentral:miRNA from 1 species
GCAGACACAUUCCAGCCAAUCAGCAGCAGACCCUCCCUCCCAGACCCUUCCACCUCCUGGACAGCAUCCAUUUUCAUUGUGAAGCUGCAUUCUUAGUGAGCUGUCCAGGAGGUGGGAGGGUCUGGGAGGGAGGGUCUGCUGCUGAUUGGCUGGAAUGUGUCUG